rnacentral:rRNA from 1 species
GACGAACGCUGGCGGCGUGCCUAAUACAUGCAAGUCGAGCGGACGUUUUAUUGGUGCUUGCACCGACAUAACGUUAGCGGCGGACGGGUGAGUAACACGUGGGCAACCUGCCCUGUAGAUUGGGAUAACUCCGGGAAACCGGGGCUAAUACCGAAUAAUACUUUUUAACUCAUGUUAGAAAGUUGAAAGAUGGUUCUGCUAUCACUACAGGAUGGGCCCGCGGCGCAUUAGCUAGUUGGUGAGGUAACGGCUCACCAAGGCGACGAUGCGUCGCCGACCUGAGAGGGUGAUCGGCCACACUGGGACUGAGACACGGCCCAGACUCCUACGGGAGGCAGCAGUAGGGAAUCUUCCACAAUGGGCGAAAGCCUGAUGGAGCAACGCCGCGUGAGUGAAGAAGGAUUUCGGUUCGUAAAACUCUGUUGUAAGGGAAGAACAAGUAGCGUAGUAACUGGCGCUACCUUGACGGUACCUUAUUAGAAAGCCACGGCUAACUACGUGCCAGCCGCCGCUGUAAGAC